rnacentral:rRNA from 1 species
GUUCGAGUGGCGAACGGGUGAGUAACACGUGAGUAACCUGCCCUUGACUUUGGGAUAACUUCAGGAAACUGGGGCUAAUACCGGAUAGGAGCUCCUGCUGCAUGGUGGGGGUUGGAAAGUUUCGGCGGUUGGGGAUGGACUCGCGGCUUAUCAGCUUGUUGGUGGGGUAGUGGCUUACCAAGGCUUUGACGGGUAGCCGGCCUGAGAGGGUGACCGGCCACAUUGGGACUGAGAUACGGCCCAG